CCCUCUGCGAAACCGGGAGGCGGGGAGAAGCAACCGCUUUCCAAUCAGAGCUUUCCUUGCGCGGAGCGACGGACGAAGCUGUCCAAUGCGGCUUUGCGAACGGUUUAAAGGGGUGGACGCUAAAAAGAGAGAACCAAAUCCCUCCAAUGAAUGGCAAGGGAGAACGAAUCCCGCCAAUGAAACGCCGCCGAUUUAAGGAGCCAACCCUCCUCCCCACACGCACACAAAUACAGGGAGAGAGAAAAAAAAAGUGAAGGCUGACUGCUUUCCUUAACCAGGCCUGCAACUUGCUUCUUCCCACGUGUGUUGAAAACGAAAGAA